rnacentral:rRNA from 1 species
AUGCACGCUAGCGAUAGGCUUAACACAUGCAAGUCGAGGGGCAGCAUGGUCUUAGCUUGCUAAGACUGAUGGCGACCGGCGCACGGGUGCGUAACGCGUAUGCAACUUGCCUCACAGAGGGGGAUAACCCGUCGAAAGACGGACUAAUACCGCGUACACUCCAUCUUGGGCAUCCAAGGUAGAGGAAAUGAAAUUCGCUGUGAGAUAGGCAUGCGUCCCAUUAGCUAGUUGGUGAGGUAACGGCUCACCAAGGCGACGAUGGGUAGGGGAACUGAGAGGUUGAACCCCCACACUGGUACUGAGGCACGGACCAGACUCCUACGGGAGGCAGCAGUGAGGAAUAUUGGUCAAUGGGCGAGAGCCUGAACCAGCCAAGUCGCGUGAAGGAUGACUGUCUUAUGGAUUGUAAACUUCUUUUAUACGGGAAUAACAAGAGUCACGUGUGACUCCCUGCAUGUACCGUAUGAAUAAGCAUCGGCUAACUCCGUG